rnacentral:lncRNA from 1 species
UCAAACCAUGUAUUUGACCUUAUCUUUGUGGAUUAUAGUUUGAAUGUUGAAGUAGCAGAGUUUCAUGUGGCAGGGUUUUCUUAUUUUUAUUUUGGUGUUACUAUAAGAUAUUUGAGAUAUUGUUUUUCUUGAAAUGAAAGUAUAUCUUUUAUUUUGUUUUUUUUUAAAAUGGCUAGAUAUGAUACACAUCUUCCCUUAACUAGUUGUUUGGUAGUCUAGAUACCUAUCCUUUCAGUCCCCGAAUUGAGCAAAGUUCGUUGUUAAUUUUUUUUUUGAUAAAUUACAUAAGUAAAUAAAGAAA